AAGAAAUAAGUAAUUUCUUUAGUUACUGGUUUAAAACCACGACAAAGCCUAAGCUAAUUUCCUAGUCUACUUUGAAAUAGUUUGAUUUCUUAACAUGGGAGGCAAUGAAGGAGGCUUCAUUGCUUUAGUUUACACAAGCAAAACUUCCUCAGUCUUAGCUAGGGCUGUACUGAUGGCAAAAUGGGAUGGCAUUCUGGAGAAUAUACACUUUUUUUUUAGUGAUGUGUUCUUCUUCCAUCAAAGAGCACCAACCUCAGUGUCUAACAGUGUAAUAGCCUCACUAAAAUUAACCUUAGGUAUCUCUGUAAUUGCCCUUAAGUGAAGUUUAAACCUUGACUUUUAUACACUGCAUGCAGCUCCAUAUGCUGCUUUUAUUUAUUGCGAUUUGGUUUUGAUUGUAACUGGUUAUGAAACUGAGGUCAUCACAGCUGAGCAGUGACUAUUAAAACUAUUUCAUCCAAUUGCAUAGAUAAUUUGGGACCACACAAGAGGUAUUUUCCUCUUUAGUGAUCAUUGUUUGUAGGUUUUUCAAUCAACUUUGCUAUUUAUUUGAUAACAUAUUACUAAUGUGUCUAACUUUGAAUAUAAUUCACUGAAGUUCCAUGGUAAUCUUCCUGUUAGAAGUUCCUCUCUGAUCUUGACCAACAAAGUAACUUUGAGCCAUGUGCAGUUUUUUACUUCAUUGCUAAUUCUUUCUCCAGAACAUUAAUAAAAAUAAUGAACAGUGGAUAUAACACAGAAUCUCCAGACGCUCUGCUGCUAAUCUUUUGUAUGUUGCAGCAAAUUAUUUUUUGAUAAAAAUAGGUAAUUUAUUAUUUGUUUUCUGACAAAUGGAAACAUCUGGUAUGUUUCUCCUGAUUCUUACCUUGACUAACAUAUUCAUUUUAUUUUUUCCCCUUUUUCUGUAGAUACAGGAGAAAUUAUAUAACUGCUUGGUGGAUACCUGCUUGCCAGCCAAGGUCAAUCUACCCCACAAGGAAAGACGUCACCUGACGGACAUAAAAAACCUGGACGUGAAAUACGUGGCUUUCUGUGUGAGCUGCAGACUUUGCCCGACGAGCUCCAUGAAGGCUGCUUUUAUCAGUCCCUGCCAGUCACACACACCUGGUACAGGCCAUAUGCUGAUUUAAUCUACUGGGCUACAAUCAAACAAAAGAUAAAAGAUAAAAUACAAUGUUCAUUGUCAGAAAAAGGGGAUGAAUUUUUUUUGAACUACCAUUUGGAGAUCUUUAAAUGGAAAAAUUACUGUGUAUUAUUUUAAUUUCAGUUUUCUUUAAUCCUUAUGAUCCUCUCUCGUCUCCAUAUACUAGACAAGUAUGUAUACUCCAAGCCAUAUACUUAAGAGACAUAUGGGAAACACAUUUUGCAGGGAAAGUCUGAGCAAAGAAGGGAAAGGUAUUCCUCAAAGGAAAGAUGAAGGAAAAGGAUAAAAGCAAGUCAUGUUAGCACAUUGUUUUGUUUCUGCUCUUUUCACUGCCUUCUAAUGUUUCAUUUAUCAAAUAAUAUGUAGACUGAUACAGAAUGUUAGGGUCUUUGAUUUUUAUAGUCCACAAUGUUUAAAAUCUUGACAAUUAGAAAGCUUCACCUAAAGCUGAAGAAUGGCUUGAAGAAAUAACUUUACCUGAUUCCUGUUAUUGUCUCUUUUUUACAAAACAUUAGAAGUUCCUUUAUGCCAACACCCUUCAUUUUGUGUUCCUUAUUUAUUAUGCCUUUUGUUUAGAUAAUCAAAGAAUUAUUUUGGUCUUUUCAGAGAAGAGACAGUAAAUUGGAGAUUAUGUUCCUUGCAUACAGCACGUUACAUUUCCUUAAACUCAUACAUUUUUCAAGUUUCAUUUGUUUAUUUGCUUUUUUUCUAAUAUAUUAAGUACUCCUACAGGCACUAAAAAUAUUAAAAUGUAAUCAUCUAGCCAAAUGUAAACUUCUUUUUCUACAAUAUAUCCUUCCUAAGUUCCAUGCCACCACAAUCCACACAAAGUAACUUUCUACCAUUCCAUCAUAAAAUUAUGCAAUAAUUUAGAUUGGAAGAACCUCCUGAGGUCUCUAGUGCAACCUGUUGCUAAAAGCAGAGCUAAAAGAAAAGCUAACUUCAAAGCUAGAUCUUGUUCCGGAAAACAGAUUUCUAAGAAACUUGUAGAAUUUUAUGAAGCUCAAAAAUUUUUAUAAAUCUUAGAUUUCUGGAUAAGAUGUAAAUUUAUGUCUUUUAACCUGAAACUUCCACUACAUUCAGUUCAAAAAUAUCUGAGCUUUAGCUUACAAGUACUGCUAUCUAUAUAGUGGAUUGUGCUUGACCUGUGCUUUACAGCAAUGCUGGAUAAAACAAGUUCUUUAGAUACGGCACAACUGAGGGAAUUCCCAGGAUUGGAAUGGAGAGAAUUAAUUCCCCAAUUUUUAAAAAGCCAUACAUUAACUCCUUAAAUGCCAUUCAUGGAGUACUAAUUAACUGGAUAUAAUUGAAGUGCUUUAGUAAGUCUUGAGAAGAUUGUGAGAAAGAGUUGCUAGAUAAAUGAAUAUAGUAUUGAAAAUAAAACCUCACCUUUUUUGUCCAAAUUCUGAUUUUCAGUUCUAUUUGCCCUUGUUACCAAGACUUCUAACAGAAAAAAUACUACAUUUUGUAUGUUUUUCCUAUGUAAAGAAAAAUAAAAUGAUACUAUGAUGUAAAUUCUAUGUGAUGCUGCAACUGACAUUAUUUCAAACUCCCAUUUUGUAUUCUGUUUCAAAUUUAGUCUAUCUAAUCCAUAAAAACAUACUGUAUAAGUUCUCUUUUCUAUCCAUGUUUCUAAAUAAAACAAGUAAAUAAUCAAACUUUCACAUGUGCUGCUCACAAGUAAAGUCAGGGUCUGUUUUUUUCUUUAUUCUGAGCAAAUGUCUACGCAAAAUGAGAGGUUCAAGAUACUGCUGCAAUAGUACUACUAUUGAUUUCUGCAAAGCAGUGCACAAUCAUAAACAAUAGUUGCUCUAUUUUUUUACUUCUACAUUAUUUGGGUCCAAACAGCCCUCUUGAAAAUAUUGGGAGAUUUCAUGCCAUUUUGAAAAGCAGAGAGAUUUUCAGUUUUUAUUUGUUUUCUCAUGUAUGGUUUAUCCAUGUUAAAUUCUUUCAAUUUUAUU